ACGAAGGGUGCAAGCGUUAAUCGGAAUUACUGGGCGUAAAGGGUGCGUAGGCGGUUCGUUAAGUCUGUCGUGAAAUCCCCGGGCUCAACCUGGGAAUGGCGAUGGAUACUGGCGAGCUAGAGUGUGUCAGAGGAUGGUGGAAUUCCCGGUGUAGCGGUGAAAUGCGUAGAGACCGGGAGGAACAUCAGUGGCGAAGGCGGCUCACUGGCCCGGUACUGACGCUGAGGUGCGAAAGCGUGGGGAGCAAACAGGA
rnacentral:rRNA from 1 species